rnacentral:tRNA from 1 species
GCCCGGAUGGUGGAAUUGGUAGACACAAGGGACUUAAAAUCCCUCGACUUAUAGUCGUGCGGGUUCAAAUCCCGCUCUGGGCA